rnacentral:tRNA from 1 species
GGGGCUGUAGCGCAGUGGGAGCGCGCUUCCCUCGCACGGAAGAGGAUAAUUUCAAGGACGCUUUAGCACUU